rnacentral:rRNA from 1 species
GAUGAACGCUGGCGGCGUGCUUAACACAUGCAAGUCGAACGAGAAAUGGAGACGGAAACCUUCGGGCGGAAGGCUUCAUUUCGAGUGGCGGACGGGUGAGUAACGCGUGGGUAACCUGCCUCAUACAGGGGGAUAACAGUUGGAAACGACUGUUAAUACCGCAUAAGACCACAGCACCGCAUGGUGCGGGGGUAAAAACUCCGGUGGUAUGAGAUGGACCCGCGUUCGAUUAGCCAGUUGGCGGGGUAACGGCCCACCAAAGCGACGAUCGAUAGCCGAUCUGAGAGGAUGACCGGCCACAUUGGGACUGAGACACGGCCCAAACUCCUACGGGAGGCAGCAGUGGGGUAUAUUGCACAAUGGGGGAAACCCUGAUGCAGCGACGCCGCGUGAGUGAAGAAGUACUUCGGUAUGUAAAGCUCUAUCAGCAGGGAAGAAAAUGACGGUACCUGAGUAAGAAGCCCCGGCUAACUACGUG